rnacentral:sRNA from 1 species
CAUGGAGGCCACUGGGGUGCUGCCGUUCGUGCGUGGAGUGGACCUCAGCGGCAACGACUUCAAGGGCGGCUACUUCCCUGAGAAUGUCAAGGCCAUGACCAGCCUGCGAUGGCUGAAGCUGAACCGCACUGGCCUCUGCUACCUGCCCGAGGAGCUGGCCGCCCUGCAGAAGCUGGAACACUUGUCUGUGAGCCACAACAACCUGACCACGCUUCACGGGGAGCUGUCCAGCCUGCCAUCGCUGCGCGCCAUCGUGGCCCGAGCCAACAGUCUGAAGAAUUCCGGAGUCCCCGAUGACAUCUUCAAGCUAGAUGACCUCUCAGUCCUGGACUUGAGCCACAACCAGCUGACGGAGUGCCCACGGGAGCUGGAGAACGCCAAGAACAUGCUGGUGCUGAACCUCAGCCACAACAGCAUCGACACCAUCCCCAACCAGCUCUUCAUCAACCUCACUGACCUGCUAUACCUGGACCUCAGCGAGAACCGCCUGGAGAGCCUGCCCCCGCAGAUGCGCCGCCUGGUGCACCUGCAGACGCUCGUGCUCAAUGGAAACCCCCUGCUGCAUGCACAGCUCCGGCAGCUCCCAGCGAUGACGGCCCUGCAGACCCUGCACCUGCGGAGCACCCAGCGUACCCAGAGCAACCUGCCCACCAGCCUGGAGGGUCUGAGCAACCUCGCAGUCAGCCAUUUGCAAGCUGAGCAAGCUGAAGAAGCUGUACCUGAAUUCCAACAAGCUGGACUUUGACGGGCUGCCCUCGGGCAUUGGCAAGCUCACCAACCUG